UGCAGGGUAUAGACCCGAAACCCGGUGAUCUAGCCAUGGGCAGGUUGAAGGUUGGGUAACACUAACUGGAGGACCGAACCGACUAAUGUUGAAAAAUUAGCGGAUGACCUGUGGCUGGGGGUGAAAGGCCAAUCAAACCGGGAGAUAGCUGGUUCUCCCCGAAAGCUAUUUAGGUAGCGCCUCGUGAAUUCAUCUCCGGGGGUAGAGCACUGUUUCGGCUAGGGGGCCAUCCCGGCUUACCAACCCGAUGCAAACUGCGAAUACCGGAGAAUGUUAUCACGGGAGACACACGGCGGGUGCUAAUGUCCGUCGUGAAGAGGGAAACAACCCAGACCGCCAGCUAAGGUCCCAAAGUCAUGGUUAAGUGGGAAACGAUGUGGGAAGGCCCAGACAGCCAGGAUGUUGGCUUAGAAGCAGCCAUCAUUUAAAGAAAGCGUAAUAGCUCACUGGUCGAGUCGGCCUGCGCGGAAGAUGUAACGGGGCUAAACCAUGCACCGAAGCUGCGGCAGCGACACCGUGUGUUGUUGGGUAGGGGAGCGUUCUGUAAGCCUGUGAAGGUGUGCUGUGAGGCAUGCUGGAGGUAUCAGAAGUGCGAAUGCUGACAUAAGUAACGAUAAAGCGGGUGAAAAGCCCGCUCGCCGGAAGACCAAGGGUUCCUGUCCAACGUUAAUCGGGGCAGGGUGAGUCGACCCCUAAGGCGAGGCCGAAAGGCGUAGUCGAUGGGAAACGGGUUAAUAUUCCCGUACUUGGUGUUACUGCGAAGGGGGGACGGAGAAGGCUAUGUUGGCCGGGCGACGGUUGUCCCGGUUUAAGCGUGUAGGUAUGUGUUCCAGGUAAAUCCGGUUCACUUUAACACUGAGGCGUGACGACGAGGCACUACGGUGCUGAAGCAACAAAUGCCCUGCUUCCAGGAAAAGCCUCUAAGCAUCAGGUAACAUCAAAUCGUACCCCAAACCGACACAGGUGGUCAGGUAGAGAAUACCAAGGCGCUUGAGAGAACUCGGGUGAAGGAACUAGGCAAAAUGGUGCCGUAACUUCGGGAGAAGGCACGCUGACACGUAGGUGAAGUGAUUUACUCACGGAGCUGAAGUCAGCCGAAGAUACCAGCUGGCUGCAACUGUUUAUUAAAAACACAGCACUGUGCAAACACGAAAGUGGACGUAUACGGUGUGACGCCUGCCCGGUGCCGGAAGGUUAAUUGAUGGGGUCAGCGCAAGCGAAGCUCCUGAUCGAAGCCCCGGUAAACGGCGGCCGUAACUAUAACGGUCCUAAGGUAGCGAAAUUCCUUGUCGGGUAAGUUCCGACCUGCACGAAUGGCGUAAUGAUGGCCAGGCUGUCUCCACCCGAGACUCAGUGAAAUUGAACUCGCUGUGAAGAUGCAGUGUACCCGCGGCAAGACGGAAAGACCCCGUGAACCUUUACUAUAGCUUGACACUGAACAUUGAGCCUUGAUGUGUAGGAUAGGUGGGAGGCUUUGAAGUGUGGACGCCAGUCUGCAUGGAGCCGACCUUGAAAUACCACCCUUUAAUGUUUGAUGUUCUAACGUGGACCCGUGAUCCGGGUUGCGGACAGUGUCUGGUGGGUAGUUUGACUGGGGCGGUCUCCUCCUAAAGAGUAACGGAGGAGCACGAAGGUUGGCUAAUCCUGGUCGGACAUCAGGAGGUUAGUGCAAUGGCAUAAGCCAGCUUGACUGCGAGCGUGACGGCGCGAGCAGGUGCGAAAGCAGGUCAUAGUGAUCCGGUGGUUCUGAAUGGAAGGGCCAUCGCUCAACGGAUAAAAGGUACUCCGGGGAUAACAGGCUGAUACCGCCCAAGAGUUCAUAUCGACGGCGGUGUUUGGCACCUCGAUGUCGGCUCAUCACAUCCUGGGGCUGAAGUAGGUCCCAAGGGUAUGGCUGUUCGCCAUUUAAAGUGGUACGCGAGCUGGGUUUAGAACGUCGUGAGACAGUUCGGUCCCUAUCUGCCGUGGGCGCUGGAGAACUGAGGGGGGCUGCUCCUAGUACGAGAGGACCGGAGUGGACGCAUCACUGGUGUUCGGGUUGUCAUGCCAAUGG
rnacentral:rRNA from 1 species